GGUGUCCUGUCCAUAAAUAAAAUGGCUUGCUCAAGAAACCAGGUUUGAAGUGGAGGUUUGCCGUCACUCCCCAGAUCUGUAUGGAAGUGUCAGAAGUGGAGUCAGCUAGUUAGUUCACCCCAAUAGGUACUGAGAGCUAUUAAGUCUGUACCACUGUGUCGGGAGAGACCAGGAGGAAUCGAGCAGACUCCAAGAUGAUGAUUAAGGUGGGCCCUAAUCCAAUCUGACUGGUGUCCUCGUAAGAAGAGAAGAUGAGGACACAGACAAACACAGAGGGAAGACUGUGUGAGGGCACAGGGAGAAAAUGACUCUCUACAACAAGGAGAGAGGCUUCAGAAUAAACCAAUUCUGCUGACACCUCUCAAACUUCUAGCCUCCAGAAGAGUGAGGAAAUCCAUUUCUGUUGUAUAAGCCACCCAGUUUGUGGUGUUUAUUAUGGCGGCCCUAGCAAGGGAAUACAGAGGGAGACAGGUUCAGACAUGUAAAGCGAGCCUUUAAAAGACACCACGUGCACCAGUGGAGCCCCAGGCCCAGGCCCCACAGACCUUGCCUCCUGGUCCAGUCCUUACUUUAUCUCAGGAUGUGACAUUGCGUUUCUUAUGGAAAAGAUCUCACUAACCUACUUCAUUUAGGAAUGCAAUUUAAUUGGCAACUCAACGGUGAUGUCGCUUCUUUUGCCAUUUUUCUGCAACACCAAAGGAAAAAAUUUUAAGCCAGCUUUUUUUAGCUGCAAAGAUGACAAAUGUUAUCAACAAUAUCCAACCAGAGUAUAUUUUCAUCCCUUUUCAUCCCGUCACGAUAAGCCAGAAGUAUUUGUUGCCAGAAAUGGAAAACAGCUUGUUCAUCAGCCAGAUGAUCGCAGUGCUCAGAAGUUCCACUCGUUUGCCAUGUGUGAAAAGUUAAGAAUUGAAAACAGACAGGCUUGCUCUGCUUAAACCGUGAGUUCUGUGAAGCAAGAGAAAGAGAAAUUUGGAUACUAGGAGAAGAGUUGUGAGAUGGUUUCGACGGCAAAGUGAACAGGGCCUUUUCACAUUAUUCUGAGAUGGGACCUCUGGGUUGAUUUGAUAGUGGAUAUGACUGUUCUCUAAUUGGCUAGAAGAUGAGUCUAAAGUUACCAACCACCGGAGGAUACUUUUGUGUUCUAGAACAAAUUCCAAUGUCCUACACAAAUGUGAUGCUGGGGACUUCUCUGUUACCUGACACCAAAUUUCCUAGACAUUUCCAUUAUACUUCCUCUUCCUGAUUAUCUUGAGUGGGAAAUCUCCAUGAGUUCUUAGUAGAAGGCAGAAGUAUACAGUGGACCUGGGCCUUCAUUAGAAACCAUGAGACUUCAAAUGAGAGCCUGAAUUAUUCCUUUAUGUUUUCAUUUAUGUGAGAAAAUAAGGGAUAUUGUUGACUUUUUAUGAGAUUAAGUUACCCAGUUAUCCAUCCUAUUAUUAUAAGUUUUAGUGUUUGCAAA
rnacentral:lncRNA from 1 species